rnacentral:rRNA from 1 species
CUACGGGGGGCACCAGUCGAGAAUAGUCUACAAUGGACGAAAGUCUGAUAGUGCAACGCCGCGUGGGUGAAGAAGCAUUUCGGUGUGUAAAACCCUUUUCUUUGUGAGCAAUGGCCUUAUGGUUAAUAGCUAUAGGGUAGAGAUAUUAGCAGAGGAAUAAGCCACGGCUAACUCCGUGCCAGCAGCCGCGGUAACACGGGGGUGGCAAGCGUUGUCCGGAAUCACUAGGCGUAAAGGGCAAGUAGGCGGAGUAUCAAGUCAGAUGUUAAAGGCAUUGGCUCAACCAAUGUACGGCAUUUGAUACUGGUAUUCUAGAAUUUGGUAUGGGAAGACGGAAUUCCUGGUGUAGCGGUGGAAUGCGCAGAUAUCAGGAAGAACACCGGAGGCGAAGGCGGUCUUCUGGUCCAAAAUUGACGCUGAAUUGCGAAGGUGUGGGUAUCAAACAGGAUUAGAUACCCUCGUAGUC